UAUUGGAUUCUGAUGUCCGCACAGCCAUGUUGGGAUUCUAACCCUAAUCCUCGGAACAUUGCACAUGUCACUCAUCUGGCAGGAAUACCAUUAAGCCAUUGCCUCCCCUUUUUAGCAAUGUUUAAAGAAAGUUCCAUCAUUCUACGUGAACAAUGUGCAACGUCCAUGUGUCGGCCUCUCCAAAAGGAUGAGGCUGUCACUGGCUCGGCCAGCAUUUAUUGCUGCGUUUACCCAGAGGGCAGUUAAGAGUCAACUGCGUUGCUAUAGGUCUGGAGUCCCAUGCAGACCAGACCAGAUCCCAGUGAUCAGUGCCAAAGCCCCAUUGCCUGUGGAAAAGGUGAUGUUUGACUUCCUGUACAGCUGCAAUUCGUGUGGUGAAGGUGCUCCCACAAUGUGGUUGGAGACAGGCUCCAGUGACUUCAUGGGGGCUACAACUCCCACAGUACCUGUGGCAGGGACCGCACGUGUGUGGGGAAACCCUGCACGCUACAUGUGCAGAAUGUGAGCGGGUUUUGGAACAUGUGCUUUGGGGUGCUAGAUGGUGAAGAUUUGCAGACUGAAAUCUCAAAGUCAUGUGCAGAUUGUGAUUAAGUUAACCAGCAUUUGAAGAACCAAAGAUAGAGAAUCACUCCACCAAAAUCCUGCAACACUCUCCCUCCCAGCAUUGUCGGUCUCUCUGCACCAAAUGGACUGUGAAUGGUACAAGACAGCAGCUCACUACCAUCUUCUCAAGGGUAACUAGAGAUGGGGAAUAAAUGCUGGCUGAGCCAGUGAUGCCCAUAUCCUGGAAAUGGUUUCUAUCUCUAGUUGCUGAACCCCAGUUGAUGUUACUGCAGGAUGAUGAGGGACGCUGAGUGUAUCCUCCAGGAGGCAGCACCAUCACAUUACCCCUGCCUACACCCACACAGUAACACCACAACGUCACUGGAACAAAAGGCAGUAAAACCAAAGGAGGACUUAGAUAUCGUUCUUGAGGUAGAGUCAUGAAAGGGGAUUGGAACACAGCAGGAACAGGAGACUGAGCUGGAUGGUCAGCUGUUUCCCAUUGAAUGGUGGAGCAGGAUUGAAAGGCCGAAUGGCCUCCUGCUGCUAUCUCCCAGGUAUGUAUAUAGCCAUGGAGCCCGGGAAGGAAGGAGUGCGCAGGGAUUCUCCAAGAGAUUGCACUUCCACAACAGGUUUUAGUGAGCGAUGGUUUGAUGGAUUUUAUUUAACAUUUACAAACCUUGUGUUAAAGAUAAAUUUUGGUUUUAAAAUGUUGUGAAAGUUUUUUGAA